GACGAACGCUGGCGGUGUGCCUCACACAUGCAAGUCGAGCGGACGAAGAUUGAAGCUUGCUUCAGUCCAAGUUAGCGGCGGACGGGUGAGUAACACGUAGGAAUCUGCCUUCAGGCGGGGGACAACGGAACGAAAGUUGCGCUAAUACCCCAUAUGCGAGUAAUCGUAAAAGGAGCAAUCCACCGGAAGAUGAGCCUGCGUCCGAUUAGCCAGUUGGUAGGGUAAAAGCCUACCAAGGCUACGAUCGGUAGUUGGUCUGAGAGGAUGAUCAGCCACAAUGGAACUGAGACACGGUCCAUACUCCUACGGGAGGCAGCAGUGGGGAAUUUUACGCAAUGGGCGAAAGCCUGACGUAGCGACACCGCGUGAGCGAAGAAGCCUUUUGGGGUGUAAAGCUCUGUCAGCUGGAACGAACACAAUGACGGUACCAGCAGAGGAAGCAUCGGCUAACUACGUG
rnacentral:rRNA from 1 species